UUCUCGCUUGGGUCCUCUGUAUAUGGUUGUUUGCCAGGGGUUCUUUUCUCCUCGGUUAGUCCCAGAACUGGGUGGGAAAUUCUUCCCAGGGCUUCCAGUUGCAACUGAAGUGUGUCUCUGGGGGCAGCUGAACUAAGGCACUUCCUUGCCCACCUACUCUGUGCUAUAUUUCGGCCUCUGCUGCAGCAAGUCCUUCACUUAUGUGCUUAGGAACAUCAUCCAUCCCCUUGUGUAUGUCCCUCAACCUCCUUGGGAGCUCGUGCCUUAGGGCAGAAGCCACAGUAGGGCAUGGGACUGUCAGUUACCGUGAACCUAAUUCCUCACAUGCGCAGGGUUUGGGAAGCAAUGCUGAGCAGUGGAAUGGAUGGGGUCUUAAGAGAUCCGGGGCCACGUUCGGCUGUGCCAUGUGACCUUGGGUGAAGUGACCUCCCUGAGCCUCAGCCUCACCAACUGAACUUUUCAAGGUGCUCGUGAACAAGAAGAGAAAUGUGCUCAGCACUGCAUUUGGCACGUCACUGGUGCUUGGUGAAGUCGGGCCCCUUCCUUUCCAACACUUCUAGAGCCACAGAACUGCACUGAGGUUUCCCACAGAUACGAUGUGUUCUGUAGCUUGUGUUUCUGCUCCCAAGGAUCCCGCCCUUCUUCUCGUAGACUUCCACUUCAGUGUGACAUGGACCACUGUUCCCGCUAAUAGGCCUCUCUGGGGAAGCCAACAACCACUUGGUUCCCUGCCUUGGGCCGAGUUAAACAGACUCACUUUGUAGGCACAGACCAUCCUAUAAACUGGGAAAGUGAUGACCACACCGUUCUUCAAUAUCACGGAACAGCCAUGAAUAGAAAUGAAAUCAGAUUACGUUGGACCAUAUGAAACCCUUUUGUAGGUCAAAUAUGGUUCAACAUCUGUAGUUUCGUGCUUCAGCCUCACGGUUCCCUGGGUCUCUUAAUCUAAUCGUAGAUGGUCACUAGUAAACGUCAUUUACAAAUGUCCAUAGUAAAGGAUGUUAAGCAGCUCUUUGGCCAGCAGGGAAGGCUUGGAUUAGACGAGACAAUGAUAUAAAAGUGCUUUAUAGACCAUGAAGACUAGGUAAUGGAAGUUAUUUUUGGAAUUAAUCGUGGACAUGGAAUAUUUUAACCCAGGGGCUCUUAAACUUUUACAAAACUAGAUAAAUUCCACUGAGUGCAUUUCUAACGUGAUUUCACAAAAGAAAAGUCUGUUUUCAGUGUGCGAUUUGUUGUUUGCGCUGGAUAUAUUCAGCUGGAGUUCACGCUUGGCCCUCCCUAAAAAAAGGGUGUCUUUGAAGGCCAAAGUCCCGGUAAGAGAUUGCUUGAUAUUAAACUUACUGUAUUUGUGUUGAGGGGGUAGGGGGCUGCCAAGGUGGGGGCCGAGAGGAAUGACCGUCACAUACAGAAUAAACUAGAGCUUGUGAGAGCUUCGUUUCUUUGGAUAGCUGACACAGCCUGGCCCCAGGAGGGUGAAUAUUUUCUUUGUUUUCAGCUGUUAAUCCAUUUUGUGAAAAUUCAGCCAAACGUUAGACAAAUGUGCAAAAUGUGCUCCAUUCCUCCCAGCAACCCAGGGUUAGUUCUGAGCCACUCUCCAACAACAGCUCCUCUGGGACCUGGAUGUGAAGGGCAGAAAUGGCAAGAACGUUUGCCUGUUUCCCAUCUCACCACCACAGAACUUUAAUUCCAAAACAUAAUAAGCUAAUGGGGCAUUAUUCAUGUGGAUUAUUCCAGUGAGCCCCUGGAAGUGAUAGAAUCGUCCCUCUUCUUCCAUUCCACUACCGUGACCGUGACUGUAGACUGUCCGUUGGAGGAUUUCCCAAGAGGAGUUGUUACAAAGACUGUCCCAUGUCAUCGUGGACUCCCAGGAAAGCAGGUGGGCACGGUACAGAAGUGCAUGCAGCUGGGAGAAGCGAAGAGGUCUCACUCCGGCUAAUACAACUGUAAACACGGAUCUUUACAACCGUCUUCAUCCUAACUUCUAAAGCUCUGUAGACAGAGAGCCCUUCCUUGUAUCAAGAGAUGAAAGGCCACGUGGAAAAAAGAGAGCUGACAGUUCCUUCUCACUUGGACAGAGAAAACCAGAACUAAAACCGUCUUUGGAUGUAAGGGAUACACAUUAGGGCACGUUUGCAGAAUUUGGAUUUAUCCGAAAGUGGCUUAACAUGUUUGCAGUCUCUCAGAAUUGGCCUAUCCUAGAGUCAAGAAAAACUUGAUUCAGGGUUUCUAAAGUAAGAGAAGUCAAAUUCCUUUACUGAGAAAAAUAAAAAGAUUUCAGUCCAGUAUUUUUCUGCACUUGGCUAUUUCAUAAAUCCUCCUCUUUAGAAACUUAAUGUAUCUGUAGCUGUUUUACAGUCAGUUCCUAAAGC